AGUCCAGCCUCAGAAGCCGAAGGUCUGUUCGGAUGGUGAGGAGCGAGCAUCCAUGCGCCUCGCCGGACUGUUGCGGAUUGAGCUGUGCUCGUGCGCCGGCUGCUGAAAUAAUGCAGUCUCUCAUCUCACCAGUGACAAAGGCUAUCCUUGUAGCUCUCUUUAUUUUUGCCAUUUUGCUCAUCCUCUAUGUGAUACUGUGGUAUAUCUGCAGAGACGUGGACUGUGAUCACGGCAUUUGAAUUUGGAGACCGAAGCUGCGGAUCCGCGGAGAAGUCAGGGUGACCCCGUUUUGCCCAAACAGAAUGGCAAGCUUUCUAUAGUAACGGGCGGCGCCAAAGGACUAUGAGACGGUCAGACAGCUGACGAAUCUGGGAGUUUAUGUCGUAAUAGCCUCACGUAAUGAAGCGGAGGGUCUGGCCACUGUGAAGAAAAUUUGUGAUGAGGACAGUUAAGCUCAGGGUGAGUCAGGCUUUAUAACACACAUAUAACACUCAUAUAAUACAUAUAUAUCGCACAUGCACUUCUGUUUGUGACUGGUGAUCGUCUAUAUUGUCGGCUUUCUGUAAUGACAGUAUGGCUCAUGUCAGGGGACGUUUGGGGUCGUUUUUAGGUCGAGCAGCUCAAGGAGACUCAGAGACGCAGAAUGGAUGCUAAUGGAGUUGCAGUGAAUUGAUUGUGUUGAACUAACGAACAGAAUGUCAGUAACAAGCUGAAGAAAAGGCCAAGAAAUCAAGUGUGGAGUACAUAGUGUGUA